AGUAUUUGUGAAUCUCGGCUCACUGCAAGCUCCGCCUCCCAGGUUCACGCCAUUCUCCUUCCUCAGCCUCCCGAAUAGCUGGGACUACAGGCGCCUGCCACCAUGCCCGGCUAAUUUUUUUUUUUGUAUUUUUAGUAGAGACAGGGUUUCACCAUGUUGGCCAGGAUGGUCUCGAUCUCCUGACCUCGUGAUCUGCCUGCCUCGGCCUCCCAAAGUGCUGGGAUUACAGGUGUGAGCCACCGUGCCUGGCCUCCUGUUUUUUUGUUUGUUUGUUUGUUUGUUUUUGAGACAGAGUUUCACUCUCGUUGCCCAGGCUGGAGUGCAAUGGCGCUAUCCCAGCUCACCGCAACCUCCACCUCCCGGGUUCAAGCAAUUCUCCUGCCUCAGCCUCCCCACUAGCUGGGAUUACAGGCAUGUGCCACCAUGCCCGGCUAAUUUUGUAUUUUUAGUAGAGACGAGGUUUCUCCAUGUUGGUCAGGCUGGCCUCAAACUCCCGACCUCAGGUGAUCCGCCUGCCUCGGCCUCCCAAAGUGCUGGGAUUACAGGUAUGAGCCACUGUGCCCCGCAAUUUUUUUUUUUUCUUAAUGGAUAAGAGGUUUUUUUUCCCCUAUUAACAUCAAUGUAAUUCCUGUGUGUGUGUGAGAGAUCUCAGAAAGGGAGAGAGAGUGCCAAGGUCUUGCUCUGUCACCCAGGAUGGAGUGCAGUGGCACGAUCUCAGCUCACUGCAACCUCUGCCUCCUGGGCUCAAGUGAUCCUCCCAACUCAGCCGCCUGUGUAGCUGGGACUACAGGCAUAUGCCUAAUUAAUUUUUAUAUUUUUAGUAGAGACAAGGUUUUGCCAUAUUGUCCAGGCUGGUCUCGAACUCCUAGACUCAAGUAAUCUGCCCACCUCGGCCUCCCAAGGUGCUGGGAUUACAGGCAUG
rnacentral:lncRNA from 1 species